rnacentral:rRNA from 1 species
AGGACGAACGCUGGCGGCGUGCUUAACACAUGCAAGUGGAGCGACGAACCGGGGCUUGCCCCGGGGCAGAGCCGCGAACGGGUGAGUAACACGUGGGUAACCCACCCCGAUGAUUGGGACAACCCGGGGAAACUCGGGCUAAUACCAAAUGUGCUCGGCGACCAUGAGGUCUCCAAGUAAAGAUAGCUUCGGCCUUCGCAUCGGGACGGGCCCGCGGCCCAUUAGCUUGUUGGUGAGGUAACGGCUCACCAAGGCUGCGAUGGGUAGCUGGUCUGAGAGGACGACCAGCCACACUGGAACUGAGACACGGUCCAGACACCUACGGGUGGCAGCAGUCGAGAAUCUUUCACAAUGGGGGAAACCCUGAUGGAGCGACGCCGCGUGGAGGAUGAAGGUCUUCGGAUUGUAAACUCCUGUCAUGAGAGAACAAGCAGACCCAGUUAAUAGCUGGGCGAGCCGAUAGUAUCUCAAGAGGAAGGGACGGCUAACGUUCGUGCCAGCAGCCGUA